CCUACGGGCGGCAGCAGGGGGGAAUAUUGGACAAUGGGGGGAACCCUGAUCCAGCCAUGCCGCGUGUGUGAAGAAGGCCCUCGGGUUGUAAAGCACUUUCAGUGAGGAAGAACGCCUGGUGGUUAAUACCCAUCAGGAAAGACAUCACUCACAGAAGAAGCACCGGCUAACUCCGUGCCAGCAGCCGCGGUAAUACGGAGGGUGCGAGCGUUAAUCGGAAUUACUGGGCGUAAAGCGCGCGUAGGUGGCUUGAUAAGCCGGUUGUGAAAGCCCCGGGCUCAACCUGGGAACGGCAUCCGGAACUGUCAAGCUAGAGUGCAGGAGAGGAAGGUAGAAUUCCCGGUGUAGCGGUGAAAUGCGUAGAGAUCGGGAGGAAUACCAGUGGCGAAGGCGGCCUUCUGGACUGACACUGACACUGAGGUGCGAAAGCGUGGGUAGCAAACAGGAUUAGAUACCCGAGUAGUC
rnacentral:rRNA from 1 species